UCUGAUCCGCAUGCCGCGUGUGUGAAGAAGGCCUUCUGGUUUGAAAACUCCUUUUUUUGGAAAAAAAACCGGGGUUUUCUAACGCCGGGGACAUGACCGGAUGAAAAAAAUACGCACCGGUUAACUACAUGCCCCGCGGUAAUACAAUACGGUGCAGGCGUUAUCCGGAUUCAAUUUACUUUAAAGGGUGCGUAGGUGGGCGGUAAGUUAAUGGUGAAAUCUCCGGGCUUAACCCGGAAACUGAAGUUGAUACUAUUUGUCUUGAAUAUAGUGGAGGUGAGGGGAAUAUAAUUUGUAUGUUGAAAUGCUUGCAUAUGACAUGUAACAUAAUACCGAUGGCGCAAGGCGCCCCCUGUUAUUGACUGACACGCAUGAACGAAAGCGGGUCAAGCAAGAUUGAAUACCCUGCCAGUCCACCCCCUCCCCAAAGGAUACCCACUAUCUGUGAGGCAUUGUUGGUGUUUGAACGAAAGCUUAAGCUAUCCCUUCAGGGAAGGGGGACCGCGGGGUUGAAAUUCAAAUAAA
rnacentral:rRNA from 1 species